rnacentral:rRNA from 1 species
GAGUUUGAUCCUGGCUCAGAACGAACGCUGGCGGCGUGCUUAACACAUGCAAGUCAGGGAGAAAGUCUCUUCGGGGAUGAUUAAACCGGCGCACGGGUGAGUAACACGUGAGUGACCUGCCUUUUAGACUGGAACAACUUACCGAAAGGUGAGCUAAUGCCGGAUGAGUUAUAUAAGUGCAUGUUUAUAUAGGAAAAGUUGGGGAGACCUGACGCUGAAAGAUGGACUCGCGUCCCAUUAGCUAGUUGGUAGGGUAAUGGCCUACCAAGGCGACGAUGGGUAGCCGGCCUGAGAGGGUGGCCGGCCACACUGGGACUGAGACACGGCCCAGACUCCUACGGGAGGCAGCAGUGGGGAAUUUUGCGCAAUGCUCGUAAGAGUGACGCAGCGACGCCGCGUGAAUGACGAAGGCCUUCGGGUCGUAAAGUUCUUUCGACAGGGAAGAAAAUGCCUAUAAGUAACUGUGUAUGUAUUGACGGUACCUGUAUAAGCAGCCCCGGCUAACUCCGUGCCAGCAGCCGCGGUAAUACGGAGGGGGCGAGCGUUGUUCGGAGUGACUGGGCGCAAAGAGCACGUAGGCGGUGUUGUAAGUCAUUAGUCAAAGACUAGAGCUCAACUUUAGUAAGGCUAGUGAUACUAUAAUACUAGAGUAUCAGAGAGGAUUGCAGAAUUCCUGGUGUAGCGGUGAAAUGCGUAGAUAUCAGGAGGAAUACCGUUAGCGAAGGCGGCAAUCUGGCUGG